rnacentral:rRNA from 1 species
CUACGGGGUGCUCCAGUGAGGAAUAUUGCACAAUGGGGGGAACCCUGAUGCAGCAACGCCGCGUGGAGGAUGACGCAUUUCGGUGUGUAAACUCCUUUUAUAUGCCAAGAAAAUGACGGUAGCAUAUGAAUAAGCACCGGCUAACUCCGUGCCAGCAGCCGCGGUAAUACGGAGGGUGCAAGCGUUACUCGGAAUCACUGGGCGUAAAGGACGCGUAGGCGGGUUGGAAAGUCAGGUGUGAAAUCCUACAGCUUAACUGUAGAACUGCACUUGAAACUUCUAAUAUAGAGUAUGGGAGGGGGAGAUGGAAUUAGUGGUGUAGGGGUAAAAUCCGUAGAUAUCACUAGGAAUACCUAAAGCGAAGGCGAUCUCCUGGAACAUUACUGACGCUAAGGCGUGAAAGCGUGGGGAGCAAACAGGAUUAGAUACCCCCGUAGUC